rnacentral:rRNA from 1 species
AACGAACGCUGGCGGCAGGCUUAACACAUGCAAGUCGAACGGUAACAGGUUAAGCUGACGAGUGGCGAACGGGUGAGUAAUGCAUCGGAACGUGCCCGGUCGUGGGGGAUAACGCAGCGAAAGCUGCGCUAAUACCGCAUACGAUCUGAGGAUGAAAGCGGGGGACCGUAAGGCCUCGCGCGAUCGGAGCGGCCGAUGUCAGAUUAGGUAGUUGGUGGGGUAAAGGCUCACCAAGCCAACGAUCUGUAGCUGGUCUGAGAGGACGACCAGCCACACUGGGACUGAGACACGGCCCAGACUCCUACGGGAGGCAGCAGUGGGGAAUUUUGGAUAAUGGGCGAAAGCCUGAUCCAGCAAUGCCGCGUGCAGGAAGAAGGCCUUCGGGUUGUAAACUGCUUUUGUACGGAGCGAAAAGGUCUCCUCUAAUACAGGGGGCUCAUGACGGUACCGUAAGAAUAAGCACCGGCUAACUACGUGCCAGCAGCCGCCGUAA